UCAUUAUUCUUACUUAUUUUCAUUAUUCUUACUUAUUUUCAUUAUUCUUACUUAUUUUCAUUAUUCUUACUUAUUUUUAUUAUCAUCAUCAUCAUAUUUCAUCUCAUUUUCAUCAUCAGCGAUCAGCGAGAGAGAUCAGCCUCUUUUACGCGAGUCAGCAAGUUCAAGCAUAACGAGAUUAUCAGAUCUCAGUAACGGCUGAACCGAUCAAGUUUUGAGUAGUCUCGAUAGCUUGGUGAAAAUUGCAUAAUAGAAGUGUUUUAUUUUUUCUUUCCGUGCCCUACGAACGGAGAUAUUGCGACGCAAAAUCCAAAUCUCGACGAUUUACAUUUAAGAUACGUCAUCAUUAUUAUUAUCGCCAAGCGAAUCUUGUCCAGUAAAUUUUUUCGACACGAGUAACGAGUGGUGCUUGUUACUACACUAUCAGCCCGCAUGCAACCACGUGAUGCAUCAAGCUGCCAUUUCAUGCAGCGCAGAUUUACUGGCGAAGACUCCCACUACUACCCGCUCUCACUUCGCGGCUGCUUUUGGCGCCUUUAAAUAUCCGUUAGAAGUAUAGGAGCAGAAAUUUUCCAUUAAUAAGAGUAUAUAUUAAACUAAAUUGAACUUUAUUAAAAAAGUGACUUAGUGAAAAGUGACCAAGUGAAAAGUGACCAAGUGAAAAAUGACUAAGUGAAAAUAAGACAAAAUUAAGUUAAACGAGGGACGAUCUUUCAAGAGAAUAGUCAACUUAUAUAAAAAUUGUAUAAAUUGUCAAUUCUCUUGGAGAAUUGCACUUUGAUCUUAGCUUCCCUAACAGCACAGAUCUCCCAGGGACGUCCGGAGGACGUCCGUACGUCCUAAAGACGUCCUUAGGGACGUCCCCUAGAUGAAGUGUGCUGUUAGGGUUUGUUUCAGAUUGCUGUACAAGUUUAAUCAAGAAAUUGUGAAAAUAUAAAGACUACAAGAUGGAUCAAUAUUUAGAAUAUAUGGACCAGUUAAAUCGUACAAUUUCGGUUUUUGUUGAAUUAGAAAUAAAAAAACGACGUUUAGCUGCCGCAGCAGCUGCUAUAAUAAUACAUGAUAUGAACAGGGCUGGUGUUGUUGUGUUUAAUUAAUCUAUCAUCUACUACUUGCACCGCCAUUCGAUCCCAACAUCUGAACAGUAUCCUUUACGCAGAUUUUGUUUAUGAUGGGAGUACACAGACGAGUGAUAGCAUUCAAUUCAAUAUCAAUAUUAUAACUCAGCGGGCUAUAAGUGUGAUUGAUGACUUCUAUAUAUUAUGAAUUUUGUUGCAGCGACACUGGAAAGUUGAUCUUCAAGCCCACACAACCCUCUCAUCCCCAUGAGAUUUAGGGUAUUCGCAACUUCUUGAUAUUUUGAAAACUUUGAGUUCUAAAAGCUCCGCCAUUCUUAAUUAGAGUAAGGAAGAAUUAAACAGCAAAAGAAUUUGGAGGAUGGAGGUAACGAGAAAUUGAAGGCACAUCUAAUAGAACAGAUGUAUGAAAAUCUUGGAAUGGUAAUGGUUUUUACAAUGGUCAGUGCAGCUCAAGAAUGGCUGAACGUACAGUGGGACAAGAUAAACCUGAGAAGAGAAAAGACUGCGGCACAAAAACUGAAGGAGGAAAAGGAUGCAGAAGGGAAUAUUGAAAACACUGGCUAAGAAAUUCGAAAUAUAUUCACACAGACGACAAUUGUAAUGGUUUUAUAGACGAUUGAAGAGAACUCUCGUAACUGUCGAAUCUUUUUUAAGCUG